AAUGAGCCAAUGACACGUCUUACGUAUUCCAUAGUUUAAUUCUAUGUCCCAAAGCCACAUUCGAUCUCGUGUAGCUACAAAACUAUAAAACAAUCAUCAUAAUACAUUAUAUGUAACAGCUUGAACUUACUGACAGUGCAUAAAACCCGCACAACUAUCAAUUAUGUAUUUCACCAGAGUAGGAGAGGUCUAGGGGAAUCAACAAGCAGAUGUUGUAUUUCUAAGUCUCCACCAGAAUAACAAUGCUUACAGAAAAAAUAUAGGGAGGAUAGUUUGUUAGGGGAGUUUGGCCACCAUAUUGUUUCAUUUGUCUGUCCAGUUUCCAAUGUUUACUCUCUGUUCUGGCCAAUUAUUUCCCUAUUUUUGCCUGGUGGAGGCUAAUUUUUAACAACUGCUGUUGGGGUAGUUGCUGUCAGAAAGUAUUUCCAAGACUAACCCAACAUCUGCUUGGAGAGUGUAGUAACGCAAUAAAGACUUGUGAGAGUGUGCCACUUUUUCAAUGUCAUUUCCACAGUUUUUCUUGUGUCUUUUUGGGGGGAAUGAAACUGGUCUAAAUAUCAUAUUGCCCCACUAUUUGAUCCAAUGGUUUACACAGUGGUCUGCAUGAUAAAGCGUCAAUUUUUGGCAAGGUGACAUUCAGAUAUAUCAAGGUUUUCUCAUUGGAAAAAUGUGUCAUAAUGUUAGCAAAGUAUUUCGUAAAGUUGUUAUCAUUGAGAAAUGAAAACAUAUUUCAUACCAAGCAUUUUGUAUGUGAUUUUCCCUACAAUUUCACACCCCAUUUAACAUAUAAAGUCCCAACCCUUCCCUAUAAAACUAUCGGGUAGACGGUAAAUCUGAUAGAAUUGGUCAGCUCAAACCUCAAAUCAGCUUAUACUGCAUCACAUGCAUCUUUGAACAAAACUGCAUAACUGUCCUUUCCAUAGACAUCACUUUUUCUCUGUACAAUGCUAUAUACUAUGCUUUACAAUACAGUAUCUAACAAUAGAUGUAGCUUCUUUUCAUAUCAUCUUGUAUCUCUUGUUGUCCUGCAUUCUCCGGAUAAAUUCAACUCUCACAUUUUCACAUAUUCAUACUAGGAGACUUUUGCAAUAUUGGCUCAUACAGUCACAUCUUUAAAUUUACAUGUAAGAGGAACUUUUCCUACACAGCAAGGGGGUGAUUCAUUAGAGCUCCUGGUGUUAGGGAGGAGAAAUUCUGAGCUUACAACUCUGGUAAAACAUGAAAUAGCAGUAAAGCUAGUUCACCUUUAUCUGCGGGGUAACCUGUAUCCAUUGUUUUUUCAACAGUAUUUAGGGAUAUUAAUACAAAGGACAGUGGUUUCAAAUUGCAAUAUUUUCAGAUUGCAGAGACCACCGUCUAUCGACUUGAUAUCCCUAAAUACCAUUUCAAGAAACAGCAGAAUAAAGGUUCAAGGUGAAAUAGCAUUUAUCAUAUUUGGGGGACUAUACAUUUAGAACUUUUUCCUCUCCCAUAUAAGAACUGAAUGAUUCAUGUCUCUGCAUCAAUUAUCAUGUGUCUACUCUUUUUUCAUACAAAUUUUACCAGCGAGUUCUAAUAUUUACUGCAGCAUAUUUUGUGUGCCUCCCUUUUUUCAGAAAAAUCACACUGAGUUUCUUAAAGCACCUUGGAGUACAGAUUUUAUGUAGUAUCUUUCUCUUCUUUCAAUCAGCACAAAGGACAGACUGAUCAGCUUUUGUUUCAUUCUGUAGAACAAAAAGGGGACGCGAAUAGGCAGGCAAGGUACGAGUGGGCACUGUGGGCACAUGUGUUUGUCCACUUAAAUGUCCCCUUCAAAUAGUAGUUUGACAACAGCUAAUAUCUUUUUUAUCUGACUGCAUUGAACAGUAUAUCUCACUGAAGUGAAUUCUUUUAUGAUUGCAUUUUUAUUUUCAAUGUGGAAGUAAUAUAAAGCUACACAGAAACGAAAUCCAAAUAAUGAUAACAUUUUGUAUUCAAACUAGAAUGAAUCGUACUAAUUUUUUUUUUCGAUUUGGAUUUUGUUCACUGCUGUUGAUAGAAUGAAAUAGAAGAUU